rnacentral:rRNA from 1 species
CAGCCGUAAACAAUGUGCGUUAGGUGUGUCGGUAACCACGCGUUACUGAUGCGCCGAAGAGAAAUCGUGAAACGCACCACCUGGGAAGUACGGUCGCAAGGCUGAAACUUAAAGGAAUUGGCGGGGGAGCACCACAACAGGUGGAGCCUGUGGUUUAAUUGGAUUCAACGCCGGACAUCUCACCGGAUAAGACAGCUGAAUGAUUGUCAAUCUGAAGGUUUUACAUGACUAGCUGAGAGGUGGUGCAUGGCGUCAGUGACU